GCGCAGCAGGCGCGAAACCUGCACAAUGUGGGAAACCACGAUGCGGGAACUCCAAGUGCCUACACUAUGUGUAGGCUGUUCUCGAGCCUAAAAAGCUCGAGAAGUAAGGGCCGGGUAAGACGGGUGCCAGCCGCCGCGGUAAUACCCGCGGCCCGAGUGGUGCUCAUUAUUAUUGAGCCUAAAGCGUCCGUAGCUGGCCGGGCAAAUCUCCGGGGAAAUCGGGCCGCUCAACGGUCCGAAGGCCGGAGACACUGCUCGGCUUGGGAUCGGGAGAGGGUGAAGGUACUCCCUGGGUAGGGGUAAAAUCCUGUAAUCCGGGGGGGACCACCAGUGGCGAAGGCGUUCACCUAGAACGAAUCCGACAGUGAGGGACGAAGCCCUAGGGCGCAAACGGGAUUAGAUACCCGCGUAGUCC
rnacentral:rRNA from 1 species